rnacentral:rRNA from 1 species
AGUCACUGACAUUAGAUACCCGGGUAGUCCCAGCCGUAAACUAUGCGCGUUAGGUGUAUCGGUGACCACGAGUCACCGAGGUGCCGAAGGGAAACCGUGAAACGUGCCGCCUGGGAAGUACGGUCGCAAGGCUGAAACUUAAAGGAAUUGCGGGGGAGCACCACAACGGGUGGAGCCUGCGGUUUAAUUUGGACUCAACGCCGGACAACUCACCGGGAACGACAGCAAUAUGUAGGCCAGGCUGAAGACCUUGCCUGAAUCGCUG